UCGAGAUGACGAAUACUCAAUGGAUACACUCUAUCGGGCAGCGAUUCCGCGCCACCGUUGCUCUCCUGUGAGAUAGGCCCCGAUAGCGAACUUUGGUUCGGAUGGGGAUUAUCGCGGUUUGAUAUAGUGGGCUGUUAACCAGUACGAGGCAUCUGCGUACGUACAGUCCAUACUAUAACUUCACGGAAUCUGAUAUGAACAAACAAUACACGAAUCAAGUGUGAAAAACUAUCUGAACACAUGAUUCCGCCUCCAUCUUUCCAGUCCUUUUGACGGCCUCGGUGACACUUGUCUGCGCAAUGAUGAACAUCAGUCUCACUCGCACAACACUAUUACUCAGCGCUACACUGUGGAGAGAGAGCUGAGACUUCAACAGACUAGUGUGAGGGGUUUACAAGUGGCUUGAUUAACAAGUGAGGUGAGGUGCAAGCUAGACCGUCCGCUAUACGCCUGUGUAGUGUCGUAUUUGAACGUGGCAAACCGGGUAUAAUUCCUUCUUACUCAUGUCUUUGCAUCCAUGACUACAGCUGACUGUACAGUAUCUACAGUAGGUACAUAUUACUGUGCACUUGACAAUGCGCACUAAAAACGUACCGGGAGUUCUAGAAGGGUCUAUGAGGUGUCUUUAGUACAAGUAAGUGUC
rnacentral:misc_RNA from 1 species